CCUCGCAAGAGGAGCGGCAGACGGGUGAGUAACGCGUGGGAAUCUACCGUACCCUACGGAAUAGCUCCGGGAAACUGGAAUUAAUACCGUAUACGCCCUUUGGGGGAAAGAUUUAUCGGGGUAUGAUGAGCCCGCGUUGGAUUAGCUAGUUGGUGGGGUAAAGGCCUACCAAGGCGACGAUCCAUAGCUGGUCUGAGAGGAUGAUCAGCCACAUUGGGACUGAGACACGGCCCAAACUCCUACGGGAGGCAGCAGUGGGGAAUAUUGGACAAUGGGCGCAAGCCUGAUCCAGCCAUGCCGCGUGAGUGAUGAAGGUCUUAGGAUUGUAAAGCUCUUUCACCGAUGAAGAUAAUGACGGUAGUCGGAGAAGAAGCCCCGGCUAACUUCGUGCCAGCAGCCGCGGUAAUACGAAGGGGGCUAGCGUUGUUCGGAAUUACUGGGCGUAAAGCGCACGUAGGCGGAUAAUUAAGUCAGGGGUGAAAUCCCGCAGCUCAACUGCGGAACUGCCUUUGAUACUGGUUAUCUUGAGUAUGGAAGAGGUAAGUGGAAUUGCGAGUGUAGAGGUGAAAUUCGUAGAUAUUCGCAGGAACACCAGUGGCGAA
rnacentral:rRNA from 1 species